GAAGCAGUAGCUCAGUUGGUAGAGCAACAUCAUGAAGUUUUAAAAUUAUCUUCAGGUCAAUUAAAACUUACUCCCACGCUUAAUAUGUGGGUCGCCGGUUCGAAUCCGGCCUGCUUCACGA
rnacentral:tRNA from 1 species